GUUAGGAAUAUUGGACAAUGGGCGAAAGCCUGAUCCAGCCAUGUCGCGUGAACGAUGAAGGCCUUCGGGUUGUAAAGUUCUUUAGCCGAUGAUUAUAAUGACUGUAGUCGGAAAAUAAGCCCCGGCUAACUUCGUGCCAGCAGCCGCGGUAAUACGAAGGGGGCGAGCGUUAUUCGGAAUCACUGGGCGUAAAGCGUGCGUAGGCGGUUUUGUAAGUUAGCAGUGAAAGCCCAGGGCUCAACCUUGGAAUUGCUCUUAAAACUGCAAGGCUCGAAUCUCGGAGAGGAUAGCGGAAUUUCCAGUGUAGCAGUGAAAUGCGUAGAUAUUGGAAGGAACACCAGUGGCGUAAGCGGCUAUCUGGACGAGUAUUGACGCUGAGGCACGAAAGCGUGGGGAUCAAACAGGAUUAGAUACCCUUGUAGUCC
rnacentral:rRNA from 1 species